GACGUAGGGCGCGAGCGUUGUCCGGAUUUAUUGGACGUAAAGAGCUCGUAGGCGGCUUGUCGCGUCGGCUGUGAAAACCCGCGGCUCAACUGUGGGCGGGCAGCUGAUACGGGCAGGCUCGAGUUCGGUAGGGGAGACUGGAAUUCCUGGUGUAGCGGUGAAAUGCGCAGAUAUCAGGAGGAACACCGAUGGCGAAGGCAGGUCUCUGGGCCGAUACUGACGCUGAGGAGCGAAAGCGUGGGGAGCGAACAGG
rnacentral:rRNA from 1 species